UACGGGGGGGGCAAGCGUUGUUCGGAAUUACUGGGCGUAAGGGGCUCGUAGGCGGCCAACUAAGUCAGACGUGAAAUCCCCCGGCUUAACCAGGGAACUGCGUCUGAUACUGGAUGGCUUGAGUUUGGGAGAGGGAUGCGGAACUUCUGGUGGAGCGGUGAAAUGCGUAGAUAUCAGAAGGAACGCCGGUGGCGAAAGCGGCGGACUGGACCUCUUCUGACGCUGAUGCGCGAAAGCUAGGGGAGCAAACGGG
rnacentral:rRNA from 1 species